rnacentral:rRNA from 1 species
GCAUAUCAAUAAGCGGAGGAAAAGAAACUAACAAGGAUUCCCCCUAGUAACGGCGAGUGAAGCGGGAUGAGCUCAAAUUUGUAAUCUGGUGGACUCAGUUCAUCCGAGUUGUAAUCUAUAGAAAAGUUUUCCGCGUCGGACCGUGUCUAAGUCCCUUGGAACAGGGUGUCAGAGAGGGUGAGAAUCCCGUGCUUGAUACGACCACCGAUGCUAUGUGAUACUUUUUCAACGAGUCGAGUUGUUUGGGAAUGCAGCUCAAAAUGGGUGGUAAAUUCCAUCUAAAGCUAAAUAUUGGCGAGAGACCGAUAGCGAACAAGUACCGUGAGGGAAAGAUGAAAAGCACUUUGGAAAGAGAGUUAAACAGUACGUGAAAUUGUUAAAAGGGAAACGAUUGAAGUCAGUCGUGCUCUCUGAGAUUCAGCCAGUUAUUCUGGUGUAUUUCUCAGUGAGCGGGUCAACAUCAGUUUAGAUCGCUGGAUAAGGUCAUUAGGAAUGUGGCUCCCUACGGGAGUGUUAUAGCCUAGUGUCGCAUACAGUGGUUUAGACUGAGGAACGCAGCUCGCCUUUAUGGCCGGGGUUCGCCCACGUCCGAGCUUAGGAUGUUGACAUAAUGGCUUUAAACGACCCG